AGCGCAAUUUUAUCGUGAUAAAAGUCGAAUUAUUGCCUACUCCUAAUGGGCCGGCCCAACUAAUCAUAUACGAUUUAGAGAUGCCUGAUGCUGCAAGUGUUCAAAACCGAAGAUACGGAAAUUAAGGAUUGUUGGAAAGCUCCAACACUUUCUUUGGAACCACUACGAUGCUAAAUUCUCGUGGUAUCUCCUUAGAUCGAACCUGCCAUAGAUGUGGUUUACAAAAAUGAAACCAUUGACUACUUACUAGAUGACUCUUUCGUACUCAUCCACGCACGAGUAUAAACAUUAACAAAAUAAUAUUUACAAUUAUAAUUUUAGUGUGUAAAUUUUAUAAUUUAUAUUUACGAUAAAUAAAUAAAUUAUAUUGUAUUAAGUAUUAUUAUUAUGUUCUAAUGCACAUUUAUAAGUAUAUACAUAUUUUUUUUAUGUUUUAAUUCAUUUUCUAAUACGUUUUUUUUUUUAUUAAUUCUCAUCUUAAUAAAUGAUUUUUUUUUUGUAUAGUAAUUGGCAUUAUUUCAUGUACGGUAUGUUGAGUUCCAUCUAUUCUUUCAAAUUAAAUGAAAAUUAAUUAGAUAAGUGAUUCGUAAAAAUUCAAAAGAUUAUUAUCUAUUUUUUUAUCAUAAUUAAAUAUUUGAUUUCAAAUAUGAUAUUUUGGAUCAUUUCAAAUAUUCAUUUUUAGGUAUGUCAAAUUGCAUAUUUUAUUUCAAACUGGAGAACGAUUUUUCUGUUUUAGUUUAAUAAGGUUAAAAUUAAAUUACUAUUUUUAACUUCAUUAGGUCGAUAGAGUUUUAAAUAUAUUUUAUAAUCAUUAUAAAAUUUCAUAUAAGUUGUUUAAAAAAUAAAAUAAUCUAACGUUGGAAUCACAUUAAUGAACAAUUUAUAAAGUUAACCUGUAAUUUUAAAAAUACAUGUACAUAUAUGAAUAUAUAUAUAAAAUAACUAAAUCCUUUGUUAGUAACUUGUUUAGAAUUUAGAAGACAUUUUAUAAUUUAUAUGUAUGAAAAUUAAGUAAAAUCCUGUUUAACAAUUUUGUAUUUUCUUCUUAAUUAGGCAUGUAAUGUGAGUAAUCUUGAAAAUUAUUUUCUUUUUAACCAUUUGAUCCAACUUAUUUUAUUUGUUAUUUUUGUAAAUUAUGUUUGAAAUAUAUAAACUUAUAUAUUUUGAAAAUUUAUAGAUAUUUUCCUUUUUUAUCUAUGUUGUUUAGGGAAAUAAAGUAAUGAAAAUAAAAUUCAUUAUAUAUUAUACAAGAUCUUUAUAUUAUAAAUAUUUCCUUUUUAUUAUUUAUAUGGUAUUCUGAAAAGGAAAUUAAAUCUAAAAAUAUAAUUAUAAUUUUAUUAAUAAAAGGGAAAUAAAAACAAUUGUUAAUAAUGACAAUUGAUGCGGCCAUCAAAUCAAUGGUUGAACAAAAGGUCAAUCAAGCUGUGCAAACCAGCCACCUAGGAGAUACCAUCAACAUAGGUUUUUUUCCAUGAAUUCAACUUUCAAAAAAGGCUAAAUCAUCAAAGAAUCAAUGAGGCUUGAAAUUACAAGCAAAUCUUCGCGGAGGAAAAAGUUAUGAAUUUUACAAACCGGAGGUUCUCCAACCCGUCCAUCUGCGAACACCAACUGGUGACAACUAAUCCCGGAGGAGUGUUGUUAAAUGGUGAGGUUUUGGGUUCGAGUAACGCCACGCGCACCAAUAACCUACCGGUGGAUGUGGAGGCGUUUCCUCCCAUGGUGAAGGGUUAGGGUCGAUGUCUUGCAAGACUGUGAGCCUGGAUCCGCGGGAUGGGUCGUCACAACAUUAGUCAACAUGAUCUUCACUUUGGAGAAAUGACGGUAAGAGAGACACUGGACUUUAUGGGGACGAUGACUAGGUAUUGGGACACGGUACCAGUUGCUCACUGAGAUCUCAACGAGGGAGAGAGAAGCUGGUAUAAAGCUAGACCCUGAAAUUGAUGCGUUCAUGAAAUUUAUUGCCAUAUCAGGGCAAGAAACUAGUUUGGUUACUGAUGAUGUACUUAAGGUACAUCUUUUCUUGCGUCUUCUUAGAACUAAUUAAAAAAGUAAAAUAAAAAAUAUUUUGGGCUCAUCUUUGGUAAAUGCUAAAUUGACAUAUACUUGGUCUUGACAUUUGUGCUGACAUUCUUGUUGGUGAGGUGAUGAGACGAGGUGUUUCUGGUGGACAAUGGAAGCGUCUAACAACCGGUAAAACUUUGAGUUAUUACAUAUUUUCACUUUUUGAUAUCAUUUCAGUAGUGUGGAUAGCGUGAUUAAUGCAGGUUUCGGGUUCUUAAAAUAAUAUAAGAUACAGUCUCUUAUCUUUUAACUAAAAAAAUCUAAGAGACUGUCUCUUAUAUCUUUUAUUCUUAUUUAUGAGACUUCCCUUAGUUUUUUUAGUUAAAAGUUAAGAGACCGUAUCUUAUAUUACACUAAGAAUUUCAUACUAAGAGACCCACGUUAAUCAUGCUCUAGCUCCGGUGAUUCUUGUCUAAACUGAGCAGGAGAGAUGUUGGUAGGACCCGCAACAACUCUUUUCAUGGAUGAAAUAUGAACAGGGUUGGAUAGUUACACAACAUUCUAAAUUUGGAUAAACUCUUGAAUGAGGCGUUUGAUAGUACUCCUUCCGUUCCUUAAUGAUAGAUUUUUUUAGAAAAAAAAUUUGUUUAAAAAAGAUAUAUUUUUUUGUGUUUUCUAUGAAAAAAUUUUAAACUUCAAAAAAAUUAAUUGACUUUAUUAAAUUACUAUUGGUUAAAAGUUAUUGAAAAUUGAAAAUUACAGAAAGCGAUAGAUUUAUUAUGGUAGUUUAAUGUAUUUUUCUAAUAUGUGUGAAAAUACUAAAAAAACCUAUCUUUUAAGAACGGAGGGAGUAGAAAAUAAUCGAAGCAAGUAUUAUGUAUAUGUGGUAAAAGUAGAUACAAAUUGAGACUUUGAAGCAAGUUUUAGUCACAUAUGUUUUUUUUAGUCACAUAUAUAAUUUGCAAAAUCUUUAGACAAUGUCACUUUGUUGCUUUUAAGCUAAAAAGCUCGCAAUAAUCAUCAAUCGGGUCAUGUGUCGCCAUAUUUUAUAACUUCCUAAAAUUUCUCUCUCUUUUCUUCAUUUUCCCCUCAAUCUUCCCACUCUAAACCUCUUUAUCCAUUACUAGUGGCAUUCCGGCGCUACGCGCCGGUUUCGGACGUUUUGUUUGUUUGUAUAUUGGUUAGAUUUGUUUCGGUUGAUAGUGCUUAUUGUUAGUAUUGUAUUAUUUUGUUUAUAUCUGAAUAGGUGGAAGAGGAAUACCGUAUGUGAUUUACAUCGAGUAGCGUAAUAAGGAUAUAUUAGAUAGGAUAAAGAUGGAGAAUUGUAAAUAUAAUGUGAUGGAAAAGAUUGAGUAAAGGAAAUGUUUCAAAAUAAACAUGUAAAUUCAUGUGUUGUUUACUUAUUUUUUGAGCGGAUGUAGUCAACAAAUUCUUCCUUCCUUUUAAAGUAAUAAAAAUCUUCGCAUCCACUGUCCAUGUCAUGAUUGUCGCAAUUUGUUAGGGGCUCCAUUGAGUCUGUAUUUAUUAAAUAUUUGAUCUUCAAAAUGACUUUGAUUUCUUUUAGAAUUCUUAACCAUAGUCAGGCAUUGAACAGUUCUAGCUUGAUUAGUUUUCCAGGAUAACCUAUCGAGAUUGACGAAGAUGUUUGAGUCCUCUGAUGGAUCUGCGGUGCUGGAAGUAUUGAAGCAACCCUUCAAUAUAGUGAGCCUUUGGAUUACCAGUAGACAAACAUUCAUUUCUAAAAGUUCUGAAACUACAUAGCAUCGCAAGUGGCUCUUCUACAAAUAAUUGGAGGUCGAGGUUCUUGAAAUAGGUGUUUGGGUCUGUGUUUGAGGGGUUUUCUUCACAACUACCAGUACUUUCGUCUGAGUUGUAAUUGGUUUCUGAAUUUGCCGACCCCAUUUUGUUUUUUCUUUUAACUGGUUUUUGAAUAUGGUGGAUGAAUUGUGUUAGUGAUUGGAGACUUGUAUACUGUGUGCAUAUUAGGUGUAUUAAUUUUAUGGAGACAGUUUUAUUUAAGAGAUGUUAUAUUUGACUUUUAUUUAAUUUUAUGAUACACUUUUAAUAAUCUAUUAGGUUACUUAAAAUUUACUGUUUUCCAGAAAUUUAUUGUGAAUUACCUGAAACGUCUAAAUAAGUUUGUAGGUUGUUUGCCUGUGAUUUUUUUUGUACUAUCACAAAAUUCUUUAGUUAGUUUUCAAAUGAAUGUAAAUGAAUUUUACGGCAUUAGUAAAUAGUAAACUGUUGAAA